GUUAGAAACGAUAGUUGAAUGAAAGAAUACUUCAUCUCAAAAUCUUCAAAAAAAAAAAAUCAGUAUGGUCUUUAUCUUCAGAGCCACAGAUGUAGAAUGUCCUCAUUUUGUAUCUCAAACAAAUAAGGCACAGUUAUGCUGAGUGGUCUCGUUGAGGUCGCACAGCUGGUCAGCAAAAGAUCCAGGAUUAAAGACCUUCAGGAUAGAGCAUGGAGACCGAAUGGGGAACUUCUCUGCCUAACAGUAACAGCCCUCAGGGGAGGGGCUUAGUUUGGUUAAUUCUGGGCAGAUGCCUUGGUUUCAGCUCAUGGAGGAAAAGGACCAUCCUGCAGUGUUGGGUGACAGCAGCAGCUGACCAGGACAAGCAGGGAAUAGCAGGUGGAAUCAAUCAGGGUUUACUUUCAAAUGUUUUCUGAGGUCAUGUCUGAAACUGCAUGUGUAAGGGGGGAGGAAGAAGGAGGCCAGUGGCCAGAAAAAGGCCGAGGAGCAUGCUGCUGGGAGAAUACCCACGAGACAGGCCUGCUGGGCUGAGGGAUUCUGUGUGGAGGCCAAGCAGGGACAGCUUUGGUUUAAUCACUUAACAAAGCGGGACUUCCUUGCCCUGAGCUCCAUGGAGAAGGGGUAAAUAUGGCCACUGGGCCAUAAGGACACAGGAAGCGUCCGCAGUGGAGCUUUGCCACACCCACAGUAUGGCAGUAGGAAGUCACGCCUGGACCCAGAAUGACGGGAAGGCCGGAACUGAGAACGAAAGUGAGCCAGCCCAUGUAUCCUCUUACAUCAGGUGGGACCAUUUAUCUCCCACCUGCAGAUUCAGCCCUGUCUGGGGUACAGAAGUCAGCUAAACCUCAAGAUUGUGUCAAACCUGGGGCUGCCUCAGGAUCACCUGUUGCCAUGGAUGGGAGUCUGGCUACUGGGCUUUUGCCUUGAUACAGUGGUCCCAUGAAGCUCAGAGCACCUCUUCCUGGAGGCCCAUUUUAACAUACCUCCGGUCUGUGGGGUACAGUUCCACAGUGACCACAUCAAGAGAGUUCCAGGCCGAGAUGGUCAAUCCAUUAUACAGAC